rnacentral:rRNA from 1 species
AUUGAACGCUGGCGGCAGGCCUAACACAUGCAAGUCGAACGAGUGGCGGACGGGUGAGUAAUUUCUGGGAAACUGCCUGAUGGAGGGGGAUAACUACUGGAAACGGUAGCUAAUACCGCAUACCAUCAGGUUUGCCCAGAUGGGAUUAGCUAGUGGGUGGGGUAACGGCGCACCAAGGCGACGAUCCCUAGCUGGUCUGAGAGGCUGACUAGCCAGACGGGAACUGUGACACGGUCCAGACUCUUCAGGGAGGUAGCAGUGGGGAAUAUGGCACAAUGGGCGCAAGUCUGAUGUAGUCAUGCCGCGUGUAUGAAGCAGGCCCUCGGGUUGUACAGGACUUUCAGCGGGGAGGCGUUACCCGCAGAAGAAGCACCGGCUCACGCCGUGCCAGCAGCCGCGGUAAUAC